rnacentral:lncRNA from 1 species
AAUUAUUAGAGAUGGUGAAAGAUAAAAAGGAAGUUUUCUGAGCUACCUGAGCUCACUCUCAAGAGCGAUAUUUUAGGUUAGAACUCAUUGCUUAAUUCCUUUUCGACAGAGCUUAGCUAUGAGAAGGGAUUUUUGCAGUCAGGAAUACUAAAAAGAAAGCGGUUGUGCAUAUUAUUUCCAGUCCUUCAUGUUAUGGGUUCCUCUCUGCUGGAGCACUGCUUGUGGGACUGACCCCAUGGAGCCUUCCCGGCACCAGGGGAUGCUGAACAUGGAUGGUCUGUAACUAUCCUCUGCUGGAGGCCCCAGAGGGCAUGUGUGUGGGUGAGAGUAGUGAGUUCUGAGUCCCACAGGGCCCAUCCUGGCAGCUCCCUGGGGCUGCUUUCUAGACAAGCCCGUCCUCUCUCCAGCUAUCCUCGGUGGCCAUGUGGCAGCCUCCAGCUUUGGAGGUGGCGGCGAGGGCAGGGGGCUGGCGAAACUGACUGCUUGUCCCUGGCUUCUACCAGUCCUCCCUGCCAAAGGUGUCUCAUUUGUUCUGGCCCUCCUCUUCUGCAACAUGAAAAUUUCCCUCUGACCCUUUGGAUGGACGCUGUCCAGAAGCAUAACCCGGUGCUCGCCUCUCUCCUCCUGUUCUGACCCCUGCAUGUCGAGGCUUCAGCAUGAAGGCUUCAGACAUUCGCUGCGUGGCCUCCCAGCUUGUGGGCCAACCCCUUCAUCUUGUGGGGUUUCCCAGUUUUUUCUUUUUAAUAGUCAAGUCCACAGGUUGCCCUUUCCUCUCAUUUUGGGAAUACUGUGGUGUGUGACCAAGGUCCCUAUGUGUAUGACAGGAAGGGUAAUUGGCAAGUAAGACAUUCUGAAUAGAAUAUAUGAAAAUUGCCAACUUUUAUGGUUUUGUGAGAUAUCCUAAACUAUUAGAGUAAGAAUUAAAAUAUUUCUUUUCUAGUGAGCCUUAGCAGAAAUGGAUAUAGGUCAGGUUGGUUUCUUGCUUUUUUCUUUUGCAGUGUAUUCAAAACAUAGUGUUAUGGACUGAAUGUUUGUGGUUCCCCCUCCCAAAUUCAUAUAUUGAAAUCCUACCUCCCAUGUGAUGGUUUUAGGAAGUAGAGCCUUUGGGAGGUGAUUAGGUCAUGAGGGUGGCACUCUCAUGAAUAGGAUUAAUGCACUUAUAAGAAGAAACAUAAGAGGGGUGAUUUUCUCUCUCAGCUGCAUGAGAAUACACGGAGACAACAGAUGUCUGCAAACCAGGAUGUGUGUCUUCCUCAGGCACUGGAUCUAUUGGUGCCUUGUUCUUGGACUUCCCAGCCUCCAGAACUAAUUAUGAUCAACAACUCAGGAAAAUACUCAACUUGAAAGAGAUUAGUGAAUGUGGACUCGAAAGGUCUAAGACAGAGAAAGAAGUUGCUGUAGAACACUUUUGCAAAACAGUGGUCUCCAAAGAGCCAUGAAACAGCUUGCUGAUUUUUGAAUUUCUGGGUUUAUUACAAAUGACUACAUAAAAGCCGUGUGGUAAGAAACGAACUUCUGGUAACAGAUGGUGGAAAAUCACCAGUAAGACCCAAACCUAACAGAGACUGCUUCUGGAGCCAUGGUUCUCACUAAGGGUUAUUAGCAUCAUUCUUUGAUGAUGGGCAUUGAGGCAUCAGAACUCAUGGAUAUCACAGUUCCUGUGUGGAGAGGAAGCUUCAGAUGGUGCUCUUGCACAGACGGGACUGCCAUUCCCAUUUUAGUGGAUCUCUUAAAAGUUCGAAUGGCUCCUCUAAUGCCUGAUGUGAAUGGAACCUUUCUCUCUGCUUCAGUCAAGAAUCUGGUGACAAAGAAGCUUCAUCCUUUCAAUCUUACAAUUUCAAUCUCCUAUCUCAAGAAAGCUCAUUUCUAUGUAUUACCAGUGCAUCCUCCACAUGCUCUUCUGCAGUUGUUCCUUCUGCGGGAAAUGAUCUCUCCUUUUGUCGAGGCUUGGUGAAAUCCUUUGAAAUUCUGUUGAUUCUGUAAGAGCCAACACAAAUACCAACUGCCCUGAAUACUUUCUGGCUAAACUGCCACAAUGAACGAGGAUUCCUCACCCAUGUCCCUCCCUUUCCCUUCCUUUCUUUUUAUAAUGGUAUGCUUAUUGUUUUUUAAUGUAACAUUUUUCUUACAAAAGGAAUACACAUUCAGUGUUAAAAUGGAAAUGUAGAAAAGUCUUCAGAAGAAAAUAAAAAUCACCUGCAAAUCCA